AUCCUCGCCACGCAGCCCAAGUGCGGCACGACUUGGCUCAAGGCCCUUGCCUCCACCAUCGUCAACCGCUCUCGCUACAGCUUCGACGACCACCCCCUCCUCAGUAACCACCCUCAGCGCGUCGUGCCAUUCAUCGAGAUCCCUGGUGUUGGCGGCGGCGGCGCGGAUCAUCAUGCACACAUCGAGACGCUUUCUUCCCCGAGGCUUCUCGCCACACACAUGCCGAUGUCGCUGCUCCCACUGGACAUGAGCUACCGAGUCGUGUACAUGUGCCGGGAUCCCAAGGAUGCCCUGGUCUCAAGGUUGCACUUCGAGAACAAAAUCAGAGCAUCUCCAACAGCCGCGAUGGAGAGUGCUUUCAGCAUGUUCUCCAAGGGCUUCUCGUCUUACGGCCCCUUCUGGGACCACUGCCUCGAGUACUGGAAGGAGAGCCUAGCCAGGCCUAACAAUGUUCUCUUUCUGAAGCAUGAAGAGAUCAAGUCGGAUCCGGUGCAUGUCGUGCGGAGGCUAGCAAUAUUUCUCGGCGUCCCGCUGUCUCGAGAGGAGGAGAGCUCUGGUGUUGCCCAAGAGGUGGUCAGGUUGUGCAGCUUUGAGAUGCUUACUAGCCUAGAAAUUAACCAGGUGGGUGGCAUUGAUCGUGGAAACAAAUGUUAUGUAGGUAAUUCUAUGUUUUUUAGAAAAGGAAAAGUUGGAGACUGGAGGAACCACAUGAGCCAGGAAAUGGGGGAAAAGUUAGAUCGCAUCGUCCGAGAGAAGCUCCAUGGGUCAGGGCUCGCGUUUUGA
rnacentral:rRNA from 1 species